AUUGAACGCUGGCGGCAGGCCUAACACAUGCAAGUCGAGCGGAGCGGCGGACGGGAGAGUAAUGCCUAGGAAUCUGCCUGGUUGUGGGGGAUAAAGUCCGGAUACGGGCGCUAAUUCCGCAUACUUUCAGUUGAGCCUAGGUCGGAUUAGCUAGUUGGGGGGGUAAAGGCCUACCAAGGCGACGAGCCGUACCUGGUCUGAGAGGAUGAUCAGUCACACUGGAACUGAGACACGGUCCAGACUCCUACGGGAGGCAGCAGUGGGGAAUAUUGGACAAUGGGCGAAAGCCUGAUCCAGCCAUGCCGCGUGUGUGAAGAAGGUCUUCGGAUUGUAAAGCACUUUAAGUUGGGAGGCGUUACCAACAGAAUAAGCACCGGCUAACUUCGUGCCAGCAGCCGCGGUAAUUC
rnacentral:rRNA from 1 species